AGAAUGAACGCUGGCGGCAUGCCUAACACAUGCAAGUCGAACGAAGGCUUCGGCCUUAGUGGCGCACGGGUGCGUAACGCGUGGGAAUCUGCCCCUUGGUUCGGAAUAACAGUUGGAAACGACUGCUAAUACCGGAUGAUGACGUAAGUCCAAAGAUUUAUCGCCGAGGGAUGAGCCCGCGUAGGAUUAGGUAGUUGGUGUGGUAAAGGCGCACCAAGCCGACGAUCCUUAGCUGGUCUGAGAGGAUGAUCAGCCACACUGGGACUGAGACACGGCCCAGACUCCUACGGGAGGCAGCAGUGGGGAAUAUUGGACAAUGGGCGAAAGCCUGAUCCAGCAAUGCCGCGUGAGUGAUGAAGGCCUUAGGGUUGUAAAGCUCUUUUACCCGGGAUGAUAAUGACAGUACCGGGAGAAUAAGCUCCGGCUAACUCCGUGCCAGCAGCCGC
rnacentral:rRNA from 1 species